GUGAUCAUCGGAAUCUUUGAACGCACAUUGCGCCCGCCAGUAUUCUGGCGGGCAUGCCUGUCCGAGCGUCAUUU
rnacentral:rRNA from 1 species